ensembl:rRNA 5S_rRNA 5S ribosomal RNA
GCCAGCAGCCAUAUCACCCUGCAACUCACAACUGGCAACCCACUGAAGCUAAGCAGGUGUGAGCCUGGUCAGUACCUGGAUGGGAGACGACCUGGGAAAAACUAAGGUUGUUGCUGGAA